UCUGGUCCAUUACACCCUUAGCCACUGUGUCUCGGGGCAGGACUGGUUAAUGUUGAUGAUCAAGGAGUGUUGAGGACAGGACCUGGUACAGGCCAUGCUAUUUUGGAGGGUUAUGCCAUAGACAUUUGUGGUAUCUACCAAACACUGCUGAUCAUUGUGGAGGUAAGAGUGGAGCAUGUGUCCAUUCCUCCCGCUGAUAGGCUCCUCACUAAUUGGUCUGAAGUCUCAUAAUAUACAGCCAGAGCGGAUCUGAACACAGCUCAACGCAAUCUAGAGCAGUGGGGAGGCCAUACAACCUGAGGCAGAGCUACUGCGCUCGCUACACUUUGGCGCCCCCUAUCCAGAGAUGAGAAUACUGCAGGCUCUCUUUAAUGCAGCACCCUUCAACACACUGGUUCAGUCAGACACCCCAGACAUUGUGUUAUCUGAUGCGGUCCGGUCAGAUGAAGACCCCACCCUCCUCCUGAUUUCAGUCUAUCCAGCCUCACAUUUCCUGGAUCACGUACCAUCUACAGCAAGCAUUACUCUGUCCACAGACCUCUCUCCACUAAAGCACUUUGUGUUGGUGACAGCCUGGAUUCAGGUUAGAGAGCAAGAGACACUCUUUUCACAAUGUUCUACAUGCACACUAAUGUUCAACAGUUUGGGGUCAGUAUGAUAUAUUUGUAAAGAAAUUGGUAUUUUUCAGCAUUAAAUUGUGAAAAAAAUGACAACGAUUCUAUUUCAAAUAAAUACUGUUCUCAGAUCCCUGCACAUAACAUGCAGACAAAAAUAUAUUUAUUGUGAGCACAAAUGCGUUCUUUCAUUUUGAAUUUAUUCCCUUGUUUAAGCUCAUGGCCAUGAUCUACUACUCAUACACUUGUUAAGUCAUGGCCGCAAAUUGAGAAUUUAAUAAAAAAAUUAAGGCCUGAAAAAAAUACAAAUUGGGGACAUUUACAACAAAUUAGUACAGCGUGGCCACAAUUUAGUAAAAUAAGGGAAAGGAUUGAUAAUUUGUGGGACAAAUUCAUAAUUUGAUCAAAUAAAUACAGACCUAUAGUGUGAAAAAAAAAAAAAUAUUGUGUUAACCCAAAACUUCUGAACAGUAGCGCAACAUAUCUGUUUCUGAAACUGAAAAUGUUCAUUUGUAUGUUCAGGUCAUCUUGGAACAAAUUCUGGACACUUGUUCAUUUCAGUAUUUUGUUUGCUGUACUGGCCGCUGCUACUGCUCUUUUCAUUGGUAGAGUCACACUUAAUAAGAGUUUUACCUUCAGAUUCUGUGCUACACUGAAUACGCGUGAUGCCCAGUGAUUCAUUUCAAAGUCAUCAUGUGAUUCAGAAUCAGGAUUUGAAGAUUUGGCCCUGCAGAGUUUUUUAUUCUCUUAAAUGUUUGAUUUCCACAGUGAACAAAACCAUGCAGUCCUCACACCCUCUACAACUGCAGGUGAAACCCAAUUAUAUUUGAAUCAACUGCUUUACCUUAAACGUGCUCUUUUAGUACUUUUUAUGUUAGUUAAUUGAAGUUCCACCUUGUCUUUUUAAUAAAUGAUCUUUUUGUGAAUGAUUCAUUCCUCCGUAUUUUUUAUUUUUUUCAAUGAAAUGUCAUAUAUCAGUCUUAUGGUGAAACCAGACUUUUCUCUGGUGAUGUAUGAUAUACUUCAUUUAAUCGUAAUCCAUUUAAAUGCUGUCCCUUUCUAACAAUCAUCUCCAAGCUCAUUUAGAUCUACUUCCAUCCAAUCAAGACCCGAUGGAUUAAACAAAGUCCCUGCCCCGCAUUGUUUUCUUUUGGAUAAUCAUUUUCACAGAUGAACAUCACAUACAGAAGAAAAGUCACUGAGUGGAGUAAUUAUGCAUAUUAUGCAUAAUUAUGCAUAUUAAUUAGCAUAUUAUGGUUCAAACGUACUAUCAGACCCAUAUGCUUUUUUUCCAAUGAAUAUCUUUUCAGAAAAACAUCUUUCAGAAAACAUUUCUAUAUGUGGCUCGCACCAUUGCUGGCAACACCAGAAGUCCUGCAGAGAAAACGGUGCAUCUUUUCUCCCCUGAUGUUAAACUUUGUGAGCCACAGUGAGAAUCUGUCAAAUAAAUGAUUCUUUCAUUUAUUUGUCUCUUUUCAAUUCAACAGUUAACACGUGCAAAUUACUUCAGUUUUUUUUUUACCAGUUUUACUAACACUUCCUAUCUUUCUUACUCUAAAAUUAAAGUAUUUUUUUAUAAUGCUUUUAUUCUGCAAUGAUGCAUUAAAAAUGCAUCAAAAGACACUUCUAACAUUCAUAAUUCUUUAAACAUUCAACAUUCAUAAAAUUAUUCAAUGGAAUUCUGUUCUUUUUAACUUUUCAACUUGAAUCCUGAAAAAAACUAAAUGUAUAGGAUUCCACAAAAAUAAUAGGCACAACCAUUAAAACAAAUGCUUCUUGAGCAUAAAAACUGUGUAUUAG